rnacentral:rRNA from 1 species
AGCGAACGCUGGCGGCAGGCCUAACACAUGCAAGUCGAACGAAGCCUUCGGGCUUAGUGGCGGACGGGUGAGUAACACGUGGGAACGUACCUUUUGGUUCGGAAUAACGCAGAGAAAUUUGCGCUAAUACCGAAUGAGCCCUUCGGGGGAAAGAUUUAUCGCCGAAAGAUCGGCCCGCGUUGGAUUAGGUAGUUGGUGGGGUAAAGGCGCACCAAGCCUACGAUCCAUAGCUGGUCUGGGAGGAUGAUCAGCCACACUGGGACUGAGACCCGGCCCAGACUCCUACGGGAGGCAGCAGUGGGGAAUCUUGCGCAAUGGGCGAAAGCCUGACGCAGCCAUGCCGCGUGAAUGAUGAAGGUCUUAGGAUUGUAAAAUUCUUUUACCAGGGACGAUAAUGACGGUACCUGGAGAAAAAGCCCCGGCUAACUUCGUGCCAGCAGCCGCCGUAAGAC